rnacentral:rRNA from 1 species
UACGGAGGGGGCUAGCGUUAUUCGGAAUUAUUGGGCGUAAAGGGCGCGUAGGCGGCCCGGUAAGUCAAAGGUGAAAUCCCUCGGCUCAACUGAGGAACUGCCUUUGAAACUGUCGGGCUUGAGGCCGGGAGGGGGUAGCGGAAUUCCCAGUGUAGCGGUGAAAUGCGUAGAUAUUGGGAGGAACACCGGUGGCGAAGGCGGCUAGCCUGG